UGAGGAACAUGACUUUCGGCGGGGGAUAGCCGGCCCAACGGCCGGGUAAUACCGCGUACGACCUUUUGGGGACAUCCCCGAUUGGUGAAAGCAGCAAUGCGCCGAAAGAGUGCCUCGCGGCCUAUCAGCUAGUUGGUGGGGUAACGCUCACCAAGGCGACGACGGGUAGCUGGUCUGAGAGGAUGGCCAGCCACAGUUGGGACUGAGACCACCGGCCCAGACCUCCGUACGGGGAGCAG
rnacentral:rRNA from 1 species